GAAGGAAGGACUUUAGGGGUCAGGCCAAACCCACAAUUGGAGAAGCUGACUAAGGUCAGACAGAGAGGCAGUUGCAAGACUAAGAUUACAACCGAGGCCCUGCCCUACUCACACUAUGGGUUAAUGUUGCCAAUUUAGCCAUAGGGAGGGCCUGACUUCCGGCAAACUCCUGGCUUGCAGUGCUGAGCAGCAGGGCUGAGCAGUAAUUAGUGGAGAUGACCACUAGGUGUCACUGUCGCACCAUUAUCUGCGGCUGCACAGUGGCC
rnacentral:lncRNA from 10 species